AUCUUUUUACAGUUAAAGUUCCGACGGUUUAAGAUGGGCAUGCGCGACAUUAGCUUGUUGGUGAGGUAACGGCUCACCAAGGCUGUGAUGUCUAGGGGUUCUGAGAGGAAAAUCCCCCACACUGGUACUGAGACACGGACCAGACUCCUACGGGAGGCAGCAGUAAGGAAUAUUGGUCAAUGGGCGCAAGCCUGAACCAGCCAUGCCGCGUGCAGGAUGACGGCCCUAUGGGUUGUAAACUGCUUUUGUACGGGAAAAAACCCUCGGUCGUGAAUCGAGGUUGAUGGUACCGUAAGAAUAAGGAUCGGCUAACUCCGUG
rnacentral:rRNA from 1 species